CCCGCUGAACUUAAGCAUAUCAAUAAGCGGAGGAGAAGAAACCAACAGGGAUUGCCUCAGUAACGGCGAGUGAAGCGGCAACAGCUCAAAUUUGAAAUCUGGCCGCUUUGGGGUCCGAGUUGUAAUUUGUAGAGGAUGUUUUGGUGUACGGCGCGGGUUUACAUUUCUUGGAACAGAGUGUCAAAGAGGGUGAGAAUCCCGUCUUGGACCGGCGUACCAACCGCGUACCACUCCUUCGACGAGACUAGUGGUUUGUGAAUAGCUGCUCAUAAUGUGUGGUCGUAUUUCAUCUCUAGCUAAAUAUUGGGCAGAGACCGCUAGCGCACAAGUAGUAGCGAGAGAUAGAUGAGAAGCACUUUGAAAGGAGUAGUAAACAACAUGAGUAAUUGUUGAAAGGGAAGAGCUGCGUUGCCGGACUUGCGGGCGGCGGUUCCCCCCUCCUGUCUGGUCGGGCUAUUCCGUCGUGUGCGGGCCAACAUCAGCUAUGGGGGUCGGUUAAAGACUUGGGGAACGUAUCUACCCUUCGGGCGUAGACAUAUAGCACCGAGUGUCACGCUGCCUCCCGGGACCGAGGAACGCGCUCCGCCUCGGAUGUUGGCGUAAUGGUUGUCAGCGACCCGUCUUGAAACACGG
rnacentral:rRNA from 1 species